AAUUAAAAGUUAAUUAAUUUAAUAUAUAUAUAUUACAUUUCUUUUUAUUUUAUAAAAUUAUAUAAAAAUAUUUAGUUAAUUAUCUAUAAUUAAAAAAUAUAUUUUAAUUAAAAUUUUAUAAGUUAUUAUUACUAAUUAUUUAAGUAAAAUACUUUUUCUACCUUUUGUAUCAGGGAAAAUUUAAAUUAAAUUAUUAAAAUAAAUUUUCUCGAAAUAAAAAAAUUUAAUUUUUUAUAAUUUAUAAUAUUACAAUAUUAUAAUGAAUAAAAAAUUAGAAACUAUAAAUUAAUCAAUUUUUAUAAUAUCUAGUUAUUUAAUAAAUGAAUUCAAUUCAUAUAUAUAUAUAUAUAUAUAUAUAUAUAUAUUAUUCAUAAAAAUAAAUUAUUUUAAUUAAUAUAUAUAUAAAUAAUUUAAGGGAUAAACUUUAUAUUAAUUAUAUAUAAUCUAUUUAUUUUUUUACUAAUAUAAAAUUAAAAAUUUUUAUUAUUUAUAAAUUUAUAAUUAUUUAAUUAAUAUUUUAAUUAAUUAUUUUCUUUUAUUUAUUAUAUAUUUAUUAAAUUAAUAUAUUUAAUAAUAUAAUAUAUUUUAAUAAUAAUUUUAUUAGUAAAUCUUAUUUUAUAAAUAAAUAUAAAUUAUAAUUAAUUAAAUUUAUUUAAGGAACUAGGCAAAAUUUAUAUAUUCACCUGUUUAACAAAAACAUGGUUUUAAGAAUAAUAAUUUAAAAUUAAAUCUGCUCAAUGAAUUUAUAUUUAAAUAGCUGCAGUAUUAAUAACUGUACUAAGGUAGCAUAAUAAUUAGAUUUUUAAUUCAAAUCUAGAAUGAAAGAUUAAAUGAAAUAUAAACUGUCUCUAAUAAAUAUUUUUAAAUUAAUAUUUAAGUCAAAAAUCUUAAAUAAAUUUUUAAAAGACGAGAAGACCCUUUAGAAUUUUAUUAAUAAAAAAAUUAUUUUAAAUAUUUAUUUUUCUUUAAUUUUUUUUUUAAUUUUUUUGGGGUAAAAUUUAAAUUUAUAAAAAUUUAAAUUUUUAAUACCAUUAAUUUAUGAAUAAUUAAUUAAAUUUUUUUAAUUAUAAAAAUUAAUUACCUAAGGGAUAACAGCAUAAUUUUUUUUUUUAGUUCUUAUAAAUAAAAAAGUUUAUGACCUCGAUGUUGAAUUAAGAUAAAAUUAUUUAGAAAAAAAUAUAUAAUUUAAGUCUGUUCGACUUAUAACUUCUUACAUGAUUUGAGUUAAAAUCGGCGUAAGCCAGAUUGGAUUCUAUCUUUAAUACAAAUAAAUAUUUUUGUACGAAAGGAAUUAAUAUUUUAAAUAAUUUAUAAAAUUUUAUAAU
rnacentral:rRNA from 1 species